UUUGGAUCCAAAUGGAUAGAGGACAGCGGUGUUGACGAUGUCAGCCAGCUCCCAAGGUCAGAAGUUGGGAUUGGAGACAUUGAAAAUUUAUUGGUUUGUCCAGUAUUAGAGAGGGAGGUACAAGAGGCGAUCCAGCCUCUGAUAGAGAAUAAGGCCCCGAGACCAAACAGGAUCUUCCUUUUUUUCAGAGAUACUAUUGCAUUAUUCAGAAAGCAAUAGU
rnacentral:lncRNA from 1 species